GUCUACGGCCAUGCCACCCUGACCAUACCCGAUCCCAUCUGAUCUCGGAAGCUAAGCAAAGUCGGGCUUGGUUAGUACUUUGUUGGGAGACCACCUAGAAAGACCGGGUGCUGUAGGCA
rnacentral:rRNA from 1 species